rnacentral:RNase_P_RNA from 4 species
CUAGGAUCCGGAAUGAUUACUCCCGAUUUAAUCGAGAGAGGAAAGUCCAGGCAGCAGGAAGCAGGGUGCCCCGCGUAAGCGGGGGCGGGUAACCGCCAGUUAGAGCAACAGAGACUAUGUCGGUCUAUUUACCAUAAAGGUCGAUAGAUACGAGUGAAAAGGGCAAUCCUCCCCGCUGCAACCUCCGAAAGGUGCGUUAUUACCAGCUUCCGGAAGCACCAAAGCGAGGGCAAAGACAGAUUAUCAUUUAGAAACAGAACCUGGCUUACCAGGAUCCUUAGGAC